rnacentral:rRNA from 1 species
CCCAAGAGAUCGGGAUAACACCUGGAAACAGAUGCUAAUACCGGAUAACAAUAGAUGAUGCCUAUCAACUGUUUAAAAGAUGGUUCUGCUAUCACUCUUGGAUGGACCUGCGGUGCAUUAGCUAGUUGGUAGGGUAACGGCCUACCAAGGCGAUGAUUCAUAGCCGAGUUGAGAGACUGAUCGGCCACAUUGGGACUGAGACACGGCCCAAACUCCUACGGGAGGCAGCAGAG